rnacentral:tRNA from 3 species
GGGGAUAUAGCUCAGCUGGGAGAGCGCUUGAAUGGCAUUCAAGAGGUCAGCGGUUCGAUCCCGCUUAUCUCCA